CAGGGUUAGUAUAGUUAAGGUUAAUAAUCCCACUCAGAAGUGCCUGAUGAUAGAAUUUUGAAAUCAGAAGCGGAGACUGGGUGUUUGCGCAUGUGUUUGUGAGCGAGUAUACUAGACAUGGUUGAGAUAGAGCGUUCUUUUCCAGUCAAAGGCGAGACUCCCAUAUGCUCUGAGAUACGUGUGUGAAUGUGUCGGCGUGUUUGUCCAACAUACAAUGCGCUAUUGUCCAACAUACAAUGCGCUACAGCUGAUUGACACGUGAACUGAUACACAACAACACAACACAACACAACACAACACAACACAACACAACACAACACAACACAACAACAACACAACACAACACAACUUGCGGAGUGUCAAUUGCUUUUGACAGUUUUGGGUUUAAUUAUACUGUAAAAACUCUAUGGCAACCGUAAUUUUUAGACAGUUGCAUCGUGUAAAAGUAUUUAAUAAUUAGUAUAAAAACUUUCCACCACUAAAACAAUCUCGUACUAUUGCCACUAAAUACAACCUCUGAAAUACACGCACAGAGAUGUAAAUAAGCCGCCUUCCGCGUAGCCUGCGUGGCAAUACGCUUAGUUUAGGCAAUACGCUUUUCCGCGCAAGAGUAGUUUAAAACCAGGGCGCUUAUAUAUAGGGCGGUUUAAGGCGCGGUUUAGGGCGGUGAAACGGCUAAAGGCGCGCCGAUCGAUGUGUGAUGCAAUGAACUGGUAACGAGUUUGUUGUGGUUACUAUGGCGACGUUGUCCUAUAUGGCAUGGAUAAAUAUGGCGGGAAAACUGAGCUGGAAGUUUUGACUGUUUUGUAGUCAAGUUUUGAUAAAGAAAUAGAUAUUGGGGGUAAAAUUCCGAUGUUAUACGAUAAUUUAGUAGAUUCUGCUAUUGUAUUUUCAGGUAAUACUGCCAAUAUUUUAGAGUUUUUGCUCAAAACGCUUGCGAAAGCUUACGAACGGUUGCUUUCGCAAGAAGCAUGACGUGAAAGGUUUUUAAAACUCUUCGGAUGUACACGUAUCGUUCACGUUCGAUAGAAUACAAUUCACAAUUAAUUUUAGCCACUAGUUGAUCUUUUCAGUUGAAAAUCAAGAAAUGCUCAACUUGAAUUUGUAUUUUUUUAACGAAUCCUUACGAGAAGUUGUCUUGGCCAGCCGGUCAAAAAAAAUCAAAGUUGGGACAAAACUUUUUCGACUAUUGCGCUCAACAAACGUCCGAGCGAGUCGUAUUUUGAUUCAAAGGCCAGGAAGUAAAAUAUGUUUACGGCUCAGAAUUACUUCAAUUGAAUGCCUUAAAAGUCGUAGAAAAUUAUUAACAU